UUUUAUGGCGGCUGUGUGCGGGCGGACUUCGGUCCGGCCGGGUUCCUUUUGCCGGUGAUCUCACCCUGCACAUAGCUGCCACCUCU
rnacentral:antisense_RNA from 2 species